ensembl:lncRNA
GGGAGCUCAGUAGAGUGCCAGGGACUCUGGGAGUUGAGAUAAAGUUGAGAGUCCAGGGGACUGUCAUGGCUGGAGUUCACAGGACAGAGUGCUGGAGAGGAGAGAGCUGCACAGAGAGAACUUGAAAGGCCUGCAAAGGGUUCCCCUCAAGUAUUCGGCUGAGUACUAAUUAGUACCUGUCUGUGAGGAAAUUACCUGAAGCUGGGGAAAGAAACCCCUAAAUAUAUUAGGGGUAGCAGGAUCUGGUGCUCACACAGAGCUGAGAAUAUUUGCCCUUCUCACCAGCCAGACUGGAAAACCCCAUGAUUCACAGGACAUUAGUUGUAAAGAUACAUUUGAAAAGAGAAGAUGACAUCAAUAUAUUUGAUGGCGUCCCCGUGAAGAGUGGUUGCCAAUACUACAGGAAGAGAAAAGAACUUUGAAAAGUAGAUAGAAUUUCACUCCGCAAAGCAUUGUUUAGUGGGACGAUUCUGGAAUUAGGCUCAGAAUUGUGACAGGAUGACUCUUCUGUUACUGAAAAUUACAUCCACCGUUUAAAGCAUUUUGGUAUGCUAAACCCAUAAUGAAAAAUUUUGAAAGAUCAUGUUUCUAAGAACCCCUAAAGAAGAAACAGGCCAUUCAGUGACAUCACUCAGAGAACGCGAAAGGACCAGCACUCCAACAGACUGAAACAAAAGCUUUUUUACAGGAGACAUUAAUGCCAGAAAGGAAAGGGAGCUAAGAAGAUCAAUAUAUUACAGCCAGAGCCCUUCCUGGCAUAGCCCAGAGAGACAGACAGGGCUCAGUUGAGCUCUCUGGGCAGCUCCCAUGCUCAUUUCUCAGGGUUCAACAGGUCAGCAUAGAACCCAAGGAAAUGGAUGACAUUGGUGGGGUGCUCUGUAUAAGGUGCUGGCAACAGUGAGAUUUCCUCUGGAAUAAGUCUAUAGUGAGUUGGAAUUUUCUUCUGGCUAGAAUGCUCUUGACAGUGUAUAAUCCAAGAUUGUUUCCUUGGCCUUCCAAAAAGUUCCAUAAGCUACCUAAGGGGCUGCAAUAAAUCUCUUCCUUUUUAAACUAGCUUGAGUGGAUUUUGUUCUCUGCAAAACAGAUCCUGCAACUAAGAACCCCGCCAGUAAUUGUUGCCAUUAAUUGGGAAUAAACUAAACCACUGUAAAAAAGUAACUCCAAGUACAGUGGAAUGUUUUAGAAGCUUCUUUGUCUCUUACAUCACAGCUCAAGAUGGGUAAUCGGGCUGUGCUCCACAAACUCAGCUAGAGACCCAGGCUGGUGGGAUGAUGCUGACAUCUGCUCCACUUGGCUUUUCUCUCUGGCUCUAAGGUGUCCGCUGCAGUUGUCUUCAGCCGCACUGCACUGUAUCCACGUUCAAGCCCAUGGGAAGGAAAAGGAGAAAACGUGGAGGGAAAACAACUUCAUAUUGAAGGACAUGAAGCAGACAUUGUUGCUAAAACCUACUAGCUAAAACCAAGACUCAAAGCAUCACCAAGAUCCAAGAGAAGAUGGAAAAUGUAAUCUCUAACUGGAGUGGCCAUUAGUCUAGCCAAAACUUGGGUGUGAGGAGUUCUUCUAGUACAAGAAGAAGGGGGGCAUGGAUAUGGGGAAAAUUCCAAAAUUUUUUAAAAGAGCACAUCAUCAAGCUUUUGAAACCUCAGAGGUUCCCUGCAAAUGGGCUUUUCCUCUAACCCUUUCUCCCAAAGCAAGGAUACCUGCAAGAAGCAGCACAGCGGUGGGGAUGUCACAAAGCAUCUUUCUCAACCCCUCUGUCUAGGUGGCAAUGGACAGUGAAACAAUGAGAUGUCUGUGGUUAUUUUGACUCUGAAUAAAAUAGAAAAACAUAACAACACCUUCAUUUAACAUAGUGAAUACCUGCUAUGUGUCAACACUAUAAGAUACAGAAGUAAACAAGACAGUCCUGGUCCUGGCUGCUGCCCUCCUGAUGCUUACCUUACAGAAUGGAAGACAUUCACUGAACAAUUUAUUAUGAGUUGAUCAUUUAAUUACAAUAAGUGUUCUAAGGAAGCACAGUGUGUAUAUGAGUAUGUGUUUGUUGUUAGUGCUGUCAAGUGGAUUCCAACUCCUAGUGACGAUGUGUACAAUUGAGUGGAACCUACACACAGCCACCACAGUAGGUCAAUCGACAGACAGGUGGUGUGGUUCCUUGACCAGAAAGGGAACCCGAGCCAUGGUGUUGAGAGCGCAAAUCUUAACCACUAGACCACCAGGGCUGGCUGUGUGAGUGUAUAACACAGGAAUUUGGCCUAGGCUGCAGAGAUCAGAAAUGCAGUAUUAAAAGCAUUAAAAGUAAAAAAGACAGGUUCACUCCAAUCUUUUUCCUUUACAGAUGUUCAUAUUUCUUUGGUUUCCUAAAGUGCUUUUUAGUCUUUCAUGUUUAUUAUUAAGUACUUAAGGCUAUGAUUUUCCUCUCAGCAUUGCUUUAGCAAUGUGUAGUUCUCUUAUUUUUUUUAGGAUGUUCUGCAAUUUUAGUAGUAUUUAUUUACAAAAAAAAAAUAUGGACAGAUUUACUAGUAAAAUAAAUUUAUCUCUGUUAGUUGGCAAAUUGUUUACAGAC